rnacentral:rRNA from 1 species
UAUAGGGGUUUGAUCCUGGCUCAGAUUGAACGCUGGCGGCAUGCCUUACACAUGCAAGUCGAACGGCAGCACGGGAGCAAUCCUGGUGGCGAGUGGCGAACGGGUGAGUAAUACAUCGGAACGUGUCCUGUCGUGGGGGAUAACCAGUCGAAAGACUGGCUAAUACCGCAUGAGAUCGAGAGAUGAAAGCAGGGGACCGCAAGGCCUUGCGCGAUUGGAGCGGCCGAUGUCGGAUUAGCUUGUUGGCGGGGUAAAAGCCCGCCAAGGCGACGAUCCGUAGCUGGUUUGAGAGAACGACCAGCCACACUGGGACUGAGACACGGCCCAGACUCCUACGGGAGGCAGCAGUGGGGAAUUUUGGACAAUGGGGGCAACCCUGAUCCAGCCAUGCCGCGUGUGUGAAGAAGGCCUUCGGGUUGUAAAGCACUUUCGGACGGAACGAAAUCGCACGGGUGAAUAUCCCGUGUGGAUGACGGUACUGUAAGAAGAAGCACCGGCUAACUACGUGCCAGCAGCCGCGGUAAUACGUAGGGUGCGAGCGUUAAUCGGAAUUACUGGGCGUAAAGCGUGCGCAGGCGGUUAUGCAAGA